rnacentral:piRNA from 1 species
GAAGCCAGAUGCCGUUCCUGAGAAGG